rnacentral:rRNA from 1 species
AUUGAACGCUGGCGGCAGGCUUAACACAUGCAAGUCGAGCGAGCGGCGGACGGGUGAGAAAUGUCUGGGAAACUGCCUGAUGGAGGGGGAUAACGACUGGAAACGGUAGCUAAUACCGCUAACCAUCAGAUGUGCCCAGAUGGGAUUAGCUAGUAGGGAGGGUAAUGGCUCACCUAGGCGACGAUCCCUAGCGGGUCUGAGAGGAUGACCCGCAACACGGGAAAUGAGAAGCGGUCCAAACUCCUACGGGAGACAGCAGUGGGGAAUAUUGCGCAAGGGGCGCAAGCCUGAUGCGGCCAUGCCGCGUGUGUGAAGAAGGCCUUCGGGUUGUAAAGCACUUUCAUCGAGGAGGCGUUACUCGAAGAAGAAGCACCGGCUAACUCCGUGCCAGCAGCCGCGGUAAUAC